AUCCAGCUGACGAGUUCCGAAUAGGAUGAAACGCGAGUCAAACUGGAU
rnacentral:hammerhead_ribozyme from 1 species